UACGUAGGGUGCAAGCGUUGUCCGGAAUUAUUGGGCGUAAAGAGCUCGUAGGCGGUCUGUCGCGUCUGCUGUGAAAACUCAGGGCUUAACCCUGAGCUUGCAGUGGGUACGGGCAGACUAGAGUGCGGUAGGGGAGACUGGAAUUCCUGGUGUAGCGGUGAAAUGCGCAGAUAUCAGGAGGAACACCGGUGGCGAAGCGGGUCUCUGGGCCGUAACUGACGCUGGAGGAGCGAAAGCCGUGGGGAGCGAACAGGA
rnacentral:rRNA from 1 species